UGCCCUCAGAUCCUUCUUGUCCAUUCCUGCUUAUCUGCCCCUGACUGGGGAGACCUCAGGUCCUUGUGUCCUCUAGCCAAAGCCUGCUCAUCUUUCUCUGACCAUAAUAUGCCUUUGCUUCUCUUUCACUGGGAUUAGAACCAAGGAUUUGUGGCCCAGAUAAUAACGAUGACCCCUGUCAUAAAUGUCACAGGAAACACCGGAAUGAGAGAGCCAUGUAGUAACCAUGGUGGCCUCUGGUGUCUGGGCAAUUGAGCAUGGACUGCAAUGAGAAAGAGACUGAAGGGCAAACUGCUCUUCAGGAAGGUGCUAGCUGUUUGGCCUUGGGGAACUAAUUCAGCCUCUGCAAGCCUGAUGAUUCAUUCAACAACGUUAAUGACUAUGGAACUAUGUUCCAGAAACGGUUCUGGUUGCUGCAGUCUAGCUGUGCACAAUUCACAUGCAGUCUCCACGCUCAUGGAGUUCCUAGAGGGGUAAGGCAGAUAAUAAACAUCCAA